GAAAGCUAUUUAGGUAGCGCCUCGUGAAUUCAUCUCCGGGGGUAGAGCACUGUUUCGGCAAGGGGGUCAUCCCGACUUACCAACCCGAUGCAAACUGCGAAUACCGGAGAAUGUUAUCACGGGAGACACACGGCGGGUGCUAACGUCCGUCGUGAAGAGGGAAACAACCCAGACCGCCAGCUAAGGUCCCAAAGUCAUGGUUAAGUGGGAAACGAUGUGGGAAGGCCCAGACAGCCAGGAUGUUGGCUUAGAAGCAGCCAUCAUUUAAAGAAAGCGUAAUAGCUCACUGGUCGAGUCGGCCUGCGCGGAAGAUGUAACGGGGCUAAACCAUGCACCGAAGCUGCGGCAGCGACGCUUAUGCGUUGUUGGGUAGGGGAGCGUUCUGUAAGCCUGUGAAGGUGUGCUGUGAGGUAUGCUGGAGGUAUCAGAAGUGCGAAUGCUGACAUAAGUAACGAUAAAGCGGGUGAAAAGCCCGCUCGCCGGAAGACCAAGGGUUCCUGUCCAACGUUAAUCGGGGCAGGGUGAGUCGACCCCUAAGGCGAGGCCGAAAGGCGUAGUCGAUGGGAAACAGGUUAAUAUUCCUGUACUUGGUGUUACUGCGAAGGGGGGACGGAGAAGGCUAUGUUGGCCGGGCGACGGUUGUCCCGGUUUAAGCGUGUAGGCUGGUUUUCCAGGCAAAUCCGGAAAAUCAAGGCCGAGGCGUGAUGACGAGGCACUACGGUGCUGAAGCAACAAAUGCCCUGCUUCCAGGAAAAGCCUCUAAGCAUCAGGUAACAUCAAAUCGUACCCCAAACCGACACAGGUGGUCAGGUAGAGAAUACCAAGGCGCUUGAGAGAACUCGGGUGAAGGAACUAGGCAAAAUGGUGCCGUAACUUCGGGAGAAGGCACGCUGAUACGUAGGUGAAGCGACUUGCUCGUGGAGCUGAAAUCAGUCGAAGAUACCAGCUGGCUGCAACUGUUUAUUAAAAACACAGCACUGUGCAAACACGAAAGUGGACGUAUACGGUGUGACGCCUGCCCGGUGCCGGAAGGUUAAUUGAUGGGGUUAGCGCAAGCGAAGCUCUUGAUCGAAGCCCCGGUAAACGGCGGCCGUAACUAUAACGGUCCUAAGGUAGCGAAAUUCCUUGUCGGGUAAGUUCCGACCUGCACGAAUGGCGUAAUGAUGGCCAGGCUGUCUCCACCCGAGACUCAGUGAAAUUGAACUCGCUGUGAAGAUGCAGUGUACCCGCGGCAAGACGGAAAGACCCCGUGAACCUUUACUAUAGCUUGACACUGAACAUUGAGCCUUGAUGUGUAGGAUAGGUGGGAGGCUUUGAAGUGUGGACGCCAGUCUGCAUGGAGCCGACCUUGAAAUACCACCCUUUAAUGUUUGAUGUUCUAACGUGGACCCGUGAUCCGGGUUGCGGACAGUGUCUGGUGGGUAGUUUGACUGGGGCGGUCUCCUCCUAAAGAGUAACGGAGGAGCACGAAGGUUGGCUAAUCCUGGUCGGACAUCAGGAGGUUAGUGCAAUGGCAUAAGCCAGCUUGACUGCGAGCGUGACGGCGCGAGCAGGUGCGAAAGCAGGUCAUAGUGAUCCGGUGGUUCUGAAUGGAAGGGCCAUCGCUCAACGGAUAAAAGGUACUCCGGGGAUAACAGGCUGAUACCGCCCAAGAGUUCAUAUCGACGGCGGUGUUUGGCACCUCGAUGUCGGCUCAUCACAUCCUGGGGCUGAAGUAGGUCCCAAGGGUAUGGCUGUUCGCCAUUUAAAGUGGUACGCGAGCUGGGUUUAGAACGUCGUGAGACAGUUCGGUCCCUAUCUGCCGUGGGCGCUGGAGAACUGAGGGGGGCUGCUCCUAGUACGAGAGGACCGGAGUGGACGCAUCACUGGUGUUCGGGUUGUCAUGCCAAUGGCACUGCCCGGUAGCUAAAUGCGGAAGAGAUAAGUGCUGAAAGCAUCUAAGCACGAAACUUGCCCCGAGAUGAGUUCUCCCUGACCCUUUAAGGGUCCUGAAGGAACGUUGAAGACGACGACGUUGAUAGGCCGGGUGUGUAAGCGCAGCGAUGCGUUGAGCUAACCGGUACUAAUGAACCGUGAGGCUUAACCUU
rnacentral:rRNA from 1 species